GAUGAAGAACGUAGCGAAAUGCGAUAAGUAAUGUGAAUUGCAGAAUUCAGUGAAUCAUCGAAUCUUUGAACGCACAUUGCGCCCGCCAGCAUUCUGGCGGGCAUGCCUGUUCGAGCGUCAUUUCAACCCUCAAGCUCUGCUUGGUGUUGGGGCCCUACGGUUGACGUAGGCCCUUAAAGGUAGUGGCGGACCCUCUCGGAGCCUCCUUUGCGUAGUAACUAACGUCUCGCACUGGGAUUCGGAGGGACUCUUGCCGUAAAACCCCCAAAUUUUUAAAUGUUGACCUCGGAUCAGGUAGGAAUACCCGCUGAACUUAAGCAUAUCAAUAAGCGGAGGA
rnacentral:misc_RNA from 1 species